rnacentral:rRNA from 1 species
GAGUCUUAACUGGGCGUUAAGUUGCAGGGUAUAGACCCGAAACCCGGUGAUCUAGCCAUGGGCAGGUUGAAGGUUGGGUAACACUAACUGGAGGACCGAACCGACUAAUGUUGAAAAAUUAGCGGAUGACUUGUGGCUGGGGGGGAAAGGCCAAUCAAACCGGGAGAUAGCUGGUUCUCCCCGAAAGCUAUUUAGGUAGCGCCUCGUGAAUUCAUCUCCGGGGGUAGAGCACUGUUUCGGCAAGGGGGUCAUCCCGACUUACCAACCCGAUGCAAACUGCGAAUACCGGAGAAUGUUAUCACGGGAGACACACGGCGGGUGCUAACGUCCGUCGUGAAGAGGGAAACAACCCAGACCGCCAGCUAAGGUCCCAAAGUCAUGGUUAAGUGGGAAACGAUGUGGGAAGGCCCAGACAGCCAGGAUGUUGGCUUAGAAGCAGCCAUCAUUUAAAGAAAGCGUAAUAGCUCACUGGUCGAGUCGGCCUGCGCGGAAGAUGUAACGGGGCUAAACCAUGCACCGAAGCUGCGGCAGCGACGCUUAUGCGUUGUUGGGUAGGGGAGCGUUCUGUAAGCCUGCGAAGGUGUGCUGUGAGGCAUGCUGGAGG